rnacentral:piRNA from 1 species
UGUCAUGUCCUUAAAAUCUAGACUUCA